rnacentral:sRNA from 1 species
GUCACCACGGACCUGCAUCACCGGUGCACGGACCAGCACACGGGCACCUCGGCCUCAGCCCCACUGGCAGCCGGCAUGAUCGCCCUAGCGCUGGAGGCCAAGUAGGUGACUGUGGGGCCCCGCCCACCGCCCUCGCCCCCAGGCGCGGCCCAGCGGCUCACCCGCCCCCGCCCCCCGCAGCCCGUUCCUGUCGUGGAGAGACAUGCAGCACCUGGUGGUCCGCGCGUCCAAGCCGGCGCACCUGCAGGCAGAAGACUGGAGGACCAACGGCGUGGGGCGCCAAGGUGCGGCGGGGCCGGGCGGGGGCGGGGACCCCGGGCCCACGGGGCGAGUGACUGCUGCCCUUCCGCGCAGUGAGCCAUCACUACGGCUACGGGCUGCUGGACGCCGGGCUGCUGGUGGACACCGCCCGCACCUGGCUGCCCACCCAACCGCAGAGGAAGUGUGCCGUCCGGGUCCAGAACCGCCCCACGUGAGACCCCUGCGUGCCCCUCCGCUAUCACCGCUGGGGGUGUGGGGGACAGGCCUGAGGCCUCAGUUUACCCAUCUGUAAAACGAGGGCUGGACCCCGUGACCUCUGAGCCCCGACCUCGCCUGCUGGCCACCCACCCACCCCCCAGCAGG